rnacentral:rRNA from 1 species
GAUGAACGCUAGCGGCAGGCUUAAUACAUGCAAGUCGAGGGGCAGCAGGACUGUAGCAAUACAGUUGCUGGCGGCCGGCAAACGGGUACGGAACACGUACGCAACCUACCCAAAACUGGGGGCUAGCGCGGGGAAACCCGGAUUCAUAACUCGUAACCUUUUUAAAUGGCGUCGCUUGAUAAGUAUCGCUCGGGCGGGUUUGGAUGGGGGUGCGCCUGAUUAGGUAGUUGGUGCGGGUAAAGGAACACCAAGCCGGCGAUCAGUAACUGGAGUGAGAGCACGACCAGUCACACGGGCACUGAGAAACGGGCCCGACACCUACGGGAGGCAGCAGUAAGGAAUAUUGGUCAAUGGACGCAAGUCUGAACCAGCCAUGCCGCGUGAAGGAUGAAGGUCCUCUGGAUUGUAAACUUCUUUUAUGGGGGACGAAACCCGGAUAUUCUUAUCCGAUUGACGGUACCUCAGGAAUAAGCACCGGCUAACUCCGUG